CCUACGGGAGGCAGCAGUAGGGAAUCUUCCACAAUGGGCGAAAGCCUGAUGGAGCAACGCCGCGUGAGUGAUGAAGGCCUUCGGGUUGUAAAACUCUGUCAUUCGGGACGAACCGGAGUCUGAGGAAAUGCAGACUCUCUGACGGUACCGGAGGAGGAAGCCCCGGCUAACUACGUGCCAGCAGCCGCGGUAAUACGUAGGGGGCAAGCGUUGUCCGGAUUCACUGGGCGUAAAGCGCGCGCAGGCGGUGAUGUAAGUCUGAGGUGAAAACCCGAAGCUCAACUUCGGGACUGCCUUGGAUACUGCGUCACUUGAGGAUAGGAGAGGCAAGGGGAAUUCCACGUGUAGCGGUGAAAUGCGUAGAGAUGUGGAGGAACACCUGUGGCGAAGGCGCCUUGCUGGCCUAUUUCUGACGCUGAGGCGCGAAAGCGUGGGGAGCAAACAGGAUUAGAUACCCUGGUAGUCCACGCUGUAAACGAUGAGUGCUAGGUGUAGGUGGGCUCAUACCCAUCUGUGCCGAAGCUAACGCAUUAAGCNCNCGCGNGGAGACGGCGCGAGACGUAGAACGUACAAUAGAGUUAGACGGCGUUGAGGACGNGCCGACGGCGACGACGAGGGGAGGUAGG
rnacentral:rRNA from 1 species